GUACCUGUGCAUCCUGUAAGUGGGAUGCAGAGAGUAGAAAUGGAGCUAGUUAGAAUAAGUGUGAAGUCAAUGGAGGUAGCCUAUGUUGCUUCAUUUACAAUAUAAUUUUUUUGGUCAAAGCUGAACACCUGUGCCAUAUACGCUAUUUACUAUCAGCUCAAAUUAGGAUGGAGCUUGCAGUUAUGUUGGCACAUCUUGAGUUUCCUUGGCAAGAAUAAAGGUGCACCUGAUACUGAUGGAAUCAGAAUGGUAUAUAUUGUGCCCUUGUUCUUCAUGGAUCUCUAUGCUUCAGAAUCAAAUAAAGAUUCAUCAUUGUUUCCGUUAGAGAGAGAAAGACCUCAAGUUUUGUCCAACUGUAUUGCCUUCUGUAAAGCAGUUUUCUAAUUAACCUCCUUGCAGCUAAACCUGUACACUUAAGGUGUGCAGAUCAAAGCAUGGAUAAAAAUCAAACGUGCAAAGCAGUUGUCAGUGUGAAGAAAUCUACUGUGCUUAGGAAACAUGGAGUGAAAUGCAAACUAAGCAAUGCCACAAGAAAUUAGGCCUAUAAAUGGCUGAUGCUGUAAACUACAGGAAGCUAACGUCAGGUAAAUAAAUUCCUCUUAUGGGAUGAGGUAAACAUGAAUCUUCUAUGGUCUGAUGGGAAGCAAAUUAUGUUGACCAGCUAGGAGAAACAAAGAGAACUGAUCAAGAAAAAAACUAAUUCGAUUGAAGCCAAUAACUAAAUAUAAGAGUAUUCAAGAAAUUAAAGAAGAAGUAAAAUGGAGUGGGCAGGAGAAGGAUUGCUGGUAGUGCUUACAUCUGAGAACGCCGAUCACAUGACUCCCUUUCAAGGCAACGGUGCCUGGGAUAUGGGAGACUCAGGCUGGCACGCGU
rnacentral:lncRNA from 1 species